CAAGGAAUAAGCCUCGGCUAAAUACGUGCCAGCAGCCGCGGUAAUACGUAUGAGGCAAGCGUUAUCCGGAAUCACUGGGCGUAAAGGGCGUGUAGGCGGCCUCUUAAGUUGGCAGUGAAAGCUCCCGGCUUAACCGGGAGAGGUAUGCCAAUACUGGGGGGCUAGAGGGCAGCAGAGGAAGGUGGAAUUCCCGGUGUAGCGGUGAUAUGCGUAGAUAUCGGGAGGAACACCCGUGGCGAAGGCGGCCUUCUGGGCUGUACCUGACGCUGAGGCGCGAAAGCGUGGGGAGCGAAGUGGAUUAGAUACCCACGUAGUCCACGCUGUAAACGGUGGAUACUAGGUAUAGGGGGUAUCGACCCUCUCUGUGCCGAAGCUAACGCCUUAAGUAUCCCGCCUGGGAACUACGGCCGCAAGGCUAAAACUCAAAGGAAUUGACGGGGGCCCGCACAAGCAGCGGAGCGUGUGGUUUAAUUCGAUGCUACGCGAAGAACCUUACCAAGGCUUGACAUGCCGGUGGUAGGAGCCCGAAAGGGUAACGACUUGCCUUCGGGCAAGAGCCAGCACAGGUGCUACAUGGCUGUCGUCAGCUCGUGCCGUGAGGUGUCGGGUUAAGUCCCAUAACGAGCGCAACCCUUGCCCUGUGUUACACUCUCACAGGGGACUGCCCAGAAAAUCUGGGAGGAAGGUGAGGAUGACGUCAAGUCAGCAUGGCCCUUAUGCCUUGGGCAACACACACGCUACAAUGGGUGGUACGAAGGGUUGCUAAGGAGCGAUCUGGAGCUAAUCCCAAAAAGCCAUCCUCAGUUCGGAUUGCAGGCUGAAACCCGCCUGCAUGAAGGUGGAGUUGCUAGUAACCGCAGGUCAGCACACUGCGGUGAAUACGUUCUCGGGCCUUGUACACACCGCCCGUCACGUCAUGAAAGCUGGCAACACCUGAAGUCGAUGGGCUAACCCGCCUUGCGCGGGAGGCAGUCGCCGAGGGUGGGGCUAGUGAUUGGGACG
rnacentral:rRNA from 1 species